UACGGAGGGUGCAAGCGUUAUCCGGAUUUACUGGGCUUAAAGGGUGUGUAGGCGGGCUUUUAAGUCAGCGGUGAAAUCUCCGGGCUCAACCCGGAAACUGCCAUUGAUACUAUUAGUCUUGAAUUUUGUUGAGGUAGGCGGAAUAAGUCAUGUAGCGGUGAAAUGCUUAGAUAUGACAUAGAACACCUAUUGCGAAGGCAGCUUACUACGCAUAUAUUGACGCUGAGGCACGAAAGCGUGGGGAUCAAACAGG
rnacentral:rRNA from 1 species